rnacentral:rRNA from 1 species
UAAAGCCCUUUCAGUGGGAAAGAUGAUGACGGUACCCACAGAAGAAGCUCCGGCUAACUCCGUGCCAGCAGCCGCGGUAAUACGGAGGGGGCUAGCGUUGUUCGGAAUUACUGGGCGUAAAGGGCGCGUAGGCUGUUAUGCAAGUCAGGAGUGAAAGCCCGGGGCUCAACCUCGGAACUGCUCCUGAAACUGCAUGACUGGAGUACGGCAGUGGAUGGUGGAAUUCCCCGUGUAGAGGUGAAAUUCGUAGAUAUGGGGAGGAAGACC